rnacentral:rRNA from 1 species
GACGAACGCUGGCGGCGUGCCUAAUACAUGCAAGUUGAGCGCUGAAGGUUGGUACUUGUACCAACUUGAUGAGCAGCGAACGGGUGAGUAACGCGUGGGGAAUCUGCCUUUGAGCGGGGGACAACAUUUGGAAACGAAUGCUAAUACCGCAUAAAAACUUUAAACACAAGUUUUAAGUUUGAAAGAUGCAAUUGCAUCACUCAAAGAUGAUCCCGCGUUGUAUUAGCUAGUUGGUGAGGUAAAGGCUCACCAAGGCGAUGAUACAUAGCCGACCUGAGAGGGUGAUCGGCCACAUUGGGACUGAGACACGGCCCAAACUCCUACGGGAGGCAGCAGUAGGGAAUCUGCGGCAAUGGACGAAAGUCUGACCGAGCAACGCCGCGUGAGUGAAGAAGGUUGUCGGAUCGUAAAACUCUGUUGGUAGAGAAGAACGUUGGUGAGAGUGGAAAGCUCAUCAAGUGACGGUAACUACCCAGAAAGGGACGGCUAACUACGUG